CCUACGGGCGGCAGCAGUAGGGAAUCUUCCACAAUGGGCAAAAGCCUGAUGGAGCAACGCCGCGUGGGUGAAGAAGGUCUUCGGAUCGUAAAACCCUGUUGUUAGAGAAGAAAGUGCGUGAGAGUAACUGUUCACGUUUCGACGGUAUCUAACCAGAAAGUCACGGCUAACUACGUGCCAGCAGCCGCGGUAAUACGUAGGUGGCAAGCGUUAUCCGGAUUUAGUGGGCGUAAAGGGAACGUAGGCGGCCUUUUAAGUCUGAUGUGAAAGCCUUGGGCUUAACCGGAGUAGUGCAUUGGAAACUGGGGGACGUGAGUGCAGGAGAGGAGAGUGGAACUCCAUGUGGAGCGGUGAAAUGCGUAGAUAUAUGGAAGAACACCAGUGGCGAAGGCGGCUCUCUGGUCUGUAACUGACGCUGAGGUUCGAAAGCGUGGGUAGCAAACAGGAUUAGAUACCCGAGUAGUC
rnacentral:rRNA from 1 species